rnacentral:rRNA from 1 species
GGACUACAGGGGUAUCUAAUUCCGUUCGCUCCCCCGGCUUUCGCGCCUCAGCGUCAGGGUCGGCCCAGCCGGCCGCCUUCGCCACUGGUGUUCUGCCCGAUCUCAACGCAUUUCACCGCUACUCCGGGCGUUCCACCGGCCCCUACCGCCCUCCAAGAACGCCCGUCUCGGUGGCCCUCCCUCAGGUGAGCCGAGGGCUUUCACCACCGACGCGGCGCCCCGCCUACGCGCGCUUUACGCCCAGUAAUUCCGGACAACGCUCGCCUCCUACGUAUUACCGCGGCUGCUGGCAC